GACGAACGCUGGCGGCGUGCUUAACACAUGCAAGUCGAACGGGGUCCAUGGUGCUUGCACCGGAAGACCUAGUGGCGAACGGGUGAGGAACACGUGAGAAACCUGCCCCGGACUCUGGGAUAACAGUUGGAAACGACUGCUAAUACCGGAUGCCGUCGCGAAGUGGCAUCACUUUGCGACGAAAGAAUUUCGGUCCGGGAGGGUCUCGCGGCCUAUGAGCUAGUUGGUGGGGUAAUGGCCUACCAAGGCAUCGACGGGUAGCUGGUCUGAGAGGAUGAUCAGCCACACUGGGACUGAGACACGGCCCAGACUCCUACGGGAGGCAGCAGUGGGGAAUCUUGCACAAUGGGCGCAAGCCUGAUGCAGCAACGCCGCGUGAGGGAUGACGGCCUUCGGGUUGUAAACCUCUUUUAGCAGGGAAGAAGCGAAAGUGACGGUACCUGCAGAAAAAGCACCGGCUAACUACGUGCCAGCCGCCGCGGUAA
rnacentral:rRNA from 1 species